rnacentral:rRNA from 1 species
CUACGGGUCGCAGCAGUGGGGAAUAUUGGACAAUGGGCGCAAGCCUGAUCCAGCAAUACCGCGUGUGUGAAGAAGGCCUGCGGGUUGUAAAGCACUUUCAAUUGUGAAGAAAAGCGAGAGGUUAAUAGCCUUUUGUCUUGACGUUAACUUUAGAAGAAGCACCGGCUAACUCUGUGCCAGCAGCCGCGGUAAUACAGAGGGUGCGAGCGUUAAUCGGAAUUACUGGGCGUAAAGCGUGCGUAGGCGGUUUAGUAAGUCAGAUGUGAAAGCCCUGGGCUCAACCUGGGAACUGCAUUUGAAACUGGUGAACUAGAGUGUGGUAGAGGGAAGUGGAAUUCCGGGUGUAGCGGUGAAAUGCGUAGAUAUCCGGAGGAACACCAGUGGCGAAGGCGACUUCCUGGACCAACACUGACGCUGAGGUACGAAAGCGUGGGUAGCAAACAGGAUUAGAUACCCUCGUAGUC